rnacentral:tRNA from 1 species
GCCUGACUGGCUCAUGGGCAGAGCGUGAGACUUUUGAUCUCGGAGGUGUAAGUUUGAACUCCAUGUUGGGUA